GGGCUGGAUUGCUGGCUUUUCACGCCUCUCACUAAUUAAAUCCUAGUCUGUAGUCCACUUGUUCACUCCAUCUGAGCUGGUGGCUUCUUAACAGCUUUGUAGGUGCAUUUCCACUGGGGCAUCUUCCAGAAACAACAGAAACUCACACACACCACCUUUAAGCCAGAGACAUGUAAUUAGGUUGUUUUUCGGAAGGUCGGUUUGCUACAGGCAAAUAGCCCAUCACUAAGUUUGGAGGGCCAGCUUGUCCAGUUUUUAACCUCACGAAGAUUUUGUUACAGUUAAUCCUUUACUGAUGGUCUCUACAUCCUGUUCCAAGUAACUUAAAUGAUACAGCUUAAGUCUAUUUAAAAGGAUGGGUGGAGUACUUGUCCCAUUCAUUCCAGUGAAGAAACAAAACCAGGCUAGCCAAAAGGCUUCAAGUAAAAUUGGGUGAUACUCAGAACACGAAGACUUUUGGUUUGUAUAACAAUCCAAAUGUGGUGAGUGGAAGAAAGUUGUCUAGUUUUUAAUCAACUCAAUGUUUGUGCAGUGCUGCAUGUAGAAGUGGGAUCGGUAUUUUUUGUGUAGCCAAUUCUCAUAAUUUUAUCAUGAAUUUUGCAAUGUUAUGCUUUUGGGAAAAAAAAUAACCUGCUAUUAUGUAAGAAAGCUAAUUUUCAUUUAAAAACAGAAAGAAAAAGUGUUUCUAGCCCUUGCACUUAGGUUGAGUGUGACCUAAGUACACCCCAAAGUAAAAUGAACAACAAAAACCCUCCCCCAAGUGUUAUGGUUUCUGAGUCAAGCCCUGUACACUCAUGUUCCAUUUUUCAUUUGAUUUUUUUUUCUGUUGGCAUUUCUGCAGUUACAAGUCAAUGGGUGCCCCGAAGGAAAGAUUUGGUCUUCCUUGCCUGAGCUUGCCCUGCAAAAGGCUAUCGAAGGCUCACCAAGAUGCCAAACCGUGGCUGGCUACAGCUUCAGCACAUCUCGUAACAAUGCAGGCCAUGACAUGCCAGUGUGAUGGAGCGUGGUGAUGUGCUGACUGGGAUCUGC
rnacentral:lncRNA from 1 species